UGGAAGAGAAGGAAACAGGGGUAUUCAUUAGAGUAGAGGCAGAUAAUUGAUUAGAAUGAUUUGUCAGUGGUAAAUCUAUAACAUUUUAUAGCUUGCUGUGUGUGUGUGUCUGUGUGUGUGUAUGUGUGACAGAGACAGAGAGUAGAAACUGGUACACUGGGUAGAAACAAUGCAAUGCCACAUCGUAGGCCCUUAAUAAAUAUUAAGAAUCCAA
rnacentral:sRNA from 1 species